rnacentral:tRNA from 1 species
GGUUGCUAACUCAACGAUAGAGUACUCGACUUUUAAGCCUACUGGUUCAGGGUUCAAGUCCCGGACAACCCA